UACGUAGGGUGCGAGCGUUAAUCGGAAUUACUGGGCGUAAAGCGUGCGCAGGCGGUUGUGCAAGACAGAGGUGAAAUCCCCGGGCUUAACCUGGGAAUGGCAUUGGUGACUGCACGGCUAGAGUGUGUCAGAGGGGGGUAGAAUUCCACGUGUAGCAGUGAAAUGCGUAGAGAUGUGGAGGAAUACCGAUGGCGAAGGCAGCCCCCUGGGAUAACACUGACGCUCAUGCACGAAAGCGUGGGGAGCAAACAGG
rnacentral:rRNA from 1 species